rnacentral:rRNA from 1 species
AUGGAGACUUUCGGCAGUUGGUUGAGAAAACAUUUAAUGAAUGACAAUGAUGUUGUAGAUCAGCUGUACAUGUUGGCCAAGACACCAUCUUCGACUAUAACGACUUUCCAAGGGUACGAGAUAAAUGGGAAUACAUUUUACACGAUCGCCCAAGAUAAAAAGAGCACCAACCAAAACAGUGGUGUCCGCUUUGAUGCAGCAACCGAGAAUGGGCAAAAGGUCACAUAUUAUGGUUACAUAGAGGAGAUAUGGGAACUUGACUAUGGACCCUCCUUUAAGGUCCCUUUGUUCCGGUGCAAAUGGUUCAAGCUAACAUGA